CCUACGGGAGGCAGCAGUGAGGAAUAUUGGUCAAUGGACGAGAGUCUGAACCAGCCAAGUAGCGUGAAGGAUGACUGCCCUAUGGGUUGUAAACUUCUUUUAUAAAGGAAUAAAACGAGGCACGUGUGCCUUUUUGCAUGUACUUUAUGAAUAAGGAUCGGCUAACUCCGUGCCAGCAGCCGCGGUAAUACGGAGGGUCCGAGCGUUGUCCGGAUUUAGUGGGUUUAAAGGGAGCGUAGAUGGGUUGUUAAGUCAGUUGUGAAAGUUUGCGGCUCAACCGUAAAAUUGCAAUUGAUACUGGCAGUCUUGAGUACAGUUGAGGUAGGCGGAAUUCGUGGUGUAGCGGUGAAAUGCUUAGAUAUCACGAAGAACCCCGAUUGCGAAGGCAGCUUACUAAACUGUGACUGACAUUGAUGCUCGAAAGUGUGGGUAUCAAACAGGAUUAGAUACCCGGGUAGUC
rnacentral:rRNA from 1 species